AAUUUCUUGAAGAGAUUAAUAGAGGUGAGGCCUUGAAGGGAUAAGUCCACCAUCUGGAGAGCAGCCCGUGACUUGCCUCGUGUCCAUGCCUACAAGGCCUUGGUGUCAUUGGUGUUAACUGUCCAUUGAAGGAACACUCAACCCAGUAGCGAACCAGCAAGCUACCUUGCUGUUACGCACAUGUACUGACGAACCCAGCCUUGCCGAAAUUUUUAGACGAUCUCAACGACUCGCUCCUGCACCUCAAUUGCGAACCCCCCCACCUUCCGACACUAGCCGCCGUUCUUGUUCGUAUCCAAACCGAGUCGAUUCUACGAAGUUCUUAUUUUUGCAGGUUCGUUCACCGUGAGCCCACGGUCAUCCUUUACUGAGGAGCACCACCGUGCCGAGCUUCAAAUUUUGUUCUUGUCGAGUUCAAAUUUUGCAAUAUUACUUGUGAAAAAUUAGGUAAUUAUCUUAUCUUGAUUUGAUUUAGAUAUUUUACUAUCAAUAUAUGUCUAUUAAUAACUAACAUGCGAUAGACAUAUCUUCCAAUUAGGAUUAAUAGGCUUCAAAGCUUCUCCUUACAAAGAUGCAAAUCUUGCCCAGUCCUGAAGAAUCCAUCACCUGUA
rnacentral:lncRNA from 1 species